rnacentral:lncRNA from 1 species
AAUUACAGGAGACAAUAGUUUUGUGCAGUGGUUUUAAAGACCUGCUUGGUUGGCAUCAGGGCAGGGCAGUAAGAUAACUUCUGAUUACUGACCACGUGUAGCCUGGCUGACUGGCAAGUGACUUCGAUGGUCCUGAGUGACCCUGUGACUGGCAAAGGAGAAGCUGGUGACUCUGGAGAUGGAAGUAGGAGGUGGAUCUAACUCAGAGAGGCAGCUAUGCUGGGUCUGGAGUCAUGUAACUCAGAAAUGCACCCUACCAGCAGGUUCACAGGACACCAGAGCAGGAAGGGCUUUGCUCUGUCUACCCACCCAAGGAUGUCACAUCUGACCUUCAGAAGCCACAAGGACACUGAGAGGAGAGCAAUACAGGCCCAGACUGACCUACCCAACCCUGUAACCUUGUUAGGACUUGAGGUGGGCUAACCCUAGUUGAGAAACAGUGGAAAGCAAAAUGGUUUCCACAGAAGCAUCUGUUGGUGAGGAAAGAGAAUUGCAGAAGGAUGUUUGUUUGAAAAGCAUUAAAAUUCAACCUUUGGAGAAGAAAGACCAAAGCCCUGAGACCACUUAAGGUUACUGGUUUGUGACUCAUGACUUUGCAUAAAAGGAGAAAGUGCCCCGAAUGUCCUAGCAGGUUAUGGGGAAAUGAAACUGAGCAAGGCCUCCUGACUCAGGCUCAGCAACUUCCUUUAAAGUCAGAAGUUAGAGCAGCCCAAGGGAGACCUUGCCUUUACUGAGUUUCCUUGUCACUCUGGACUUUGUCUGUGACACUUGUGGGCCAUCUGAGGAUCCUGGGGACUCUGCCAUUCUAGCAUCCAAGAGUCUCUUACAGAGAACUCAAAGGUGACCUGUCCCAUACAUUAAGGACAAGCAGGAGCCCUUGUUCUCUGUCUGCUUGGGUCUUGUGACUCCAUGAGAAUGAGAGUUGGUGUUUGAAUAAACUAAGGAAUCAAGAAAGGGGAAGGGGAAUGUCCAAUGGCCAAGAAGACAGCACCUGUGAAAGUGACCGAUGACAUCACCAGCACUGAAAGAGCGGAGGGAACUGCACAUUAUACUGCAACCACUUCCCGUCACCAACGGAACCCAGAACGGCUGCUUUGCAAGCCCACAGCAGGAGAGGCGAACCUACUAUUGCUGGGAAUGCUGUCACCCACCAAAAGCCACUUCUAAAUAUAA